GACGUAGGGGGCGAGCGUUGUCCGGAUUUACUGGGCGUAAAGCGUACGCAGACGGUGAGGCAAGUCGGGUGUGAAAGCCCCGGGCUCAACCCGGGAACUGCAUUCGAUACUACUUCGCUCGAGUAUGAGAGAGGAAAGCGGAAUUCCUGGUGUAGAGGUGAAAUUCGUAGAUAUCAGGAGGAACACCGGCGGCGAAGGCGGCUUUCUGGCUCAUUACUGACGUUCAGGUACGAUAGCGUGGGUAGCAAACAGG
rnacentral:rRNA from 1 species